rnacentral:rRNA from 1 species
CAGCAGCCGCGGUAAUACCGGUGGCUCGAGUGGUGGCCGCUAUUAUUGGGUCUAAAGGGUCCGUAGCCGGCUUGAUAAGUUACCUGGGAAAUCCGGUGGCCUAACCAUCGGGCGGCCAGGUAAUACUAUCAGGCUCGGGACUAGGAGAGACCAGAGGUACUCAUGAGGUAGGAGUGAAAUCCUGUAAUCUUAUGAGGACCACCAGUGGUGAAGACGUCUGGUUAGAAUAGGUCCGACGGUGAGGGACGAAGGCUGGGGGCGCAAACCGGAUUAGAUACCCGGGUAGUCCCAGCAGUAAACGAUGCCAGCUAUGUGUUGCUGGAACCAUGGGUUCCAGCAGUGCCGAAGGGAAGCCGUGAAGCUGGCCACCUGGGAAGUACGGUCGCAAGGCUGAAACUUAAAGGAAUUGGCGGG